rnacentral:misc_RNA from 1 species
GCGGCUAUAAUUAUUCAAUUGCAAAAGAAUCCCAAGACCCAAUAGCAAUUGGAAUCCAAGAAAAGUGAGUCCCUGAAAGGGUGUCAAGACACCACUAGCAACUGGCCUUGACCUUGUUCUUUCCACCUUAGUAUCGAUAUCUCGAUCAAGAAGAUCGUUAACGGUACAUCCAGCACCUCGCAAAAGCAAAGCCCCACAACCAAAUAGUG